UACGUAGGGGGCUAGCGUUAUCCGGAUUUACUGGGCGUAAAGGGUGCGUAGGUGGUUUUUUAAGUCAGGAGUGAAAGGCUACGGCUCAACCGUAGUAAGCUCUUGAAACUGAGAAACUUGAGUGCAGGAGAGGAAAGUGGAAUUCCUAGUGUAGCGGUGAAAUGCGUAGAUAUUAGGAGGAACACCAGUAGCGAAGGCGGCUUUCUGGACUGUAACUGACACUGAGGAACGAAAGCGUGGGGAGCAAACAGG
rnacentral:rRNA from 1 species